CCUAAUUUCUUUAGUUUAUAAAACCUACAAGUAUUACGGCAAUGGAGAUACCAUCGAUGGUGGAGGAUACAGGGCUAUUUCGAAUUGGGGAAGAAGCUGAAGAAGGCAGAGGAAGAAGCGUUGGAGAUUGUGAAGGAAGUAACUGAGUCAGCUGAGAAAGGAGUCGAAGCGGAAGAGAGACAGAUCGAGGCUACGUCGAUCGUUAAUGGAAUAUUAGGGAUUGCGAUCGUUACUGCGGUUUUAGUUCCUUUGUCACUAACAACGUAUCGUCAAACCCAGACCUGAAACAAUAAAGUUGUUCUCAUAGAAUGAAUGGAGUGCAUGAUGAUCAAUGACCCGAAGGUUGGAUGAAUGCGUUUGGGAUAGACAUGAACAAUCCGCAAUGGUCACCGAUCUUCUAGAAAAAUGCACUACUCAUUGUCAUAUUCUAUUAGAUUAAUCUAUAAUAUAAUGAUAAGAGUAUAUGUAAUAGUAUAUUCCAAUAGAAUAAUCUACAUAUUAUAUUUUUUUGUUAUUAGGGAGUGUUUCAUUAUUAUAGAAUAAAAUAUAAAGUUUUUUAUUUUUUCAA